AAUGAUUUUCAUAGACACAGUCUGUUCUACACUACGAUGACAAACAGCUAAAUACUUUGCCAAUUUGGGAAAAGUGUCAAAUCCAGCCACUUUGGAUUCAAAUAAACAAAAACGUACAUUCAUACACAUGAAGACGUUUAACCAGGAAAGAUAAAAUUGUGAAAUAGACACUCUAGAUCUAGACUCUAGAAGAUGACAUAACCGCAGCCUCCACUCUUUUAAAUUAGUUUUGUAGAUAACACAUUGAUAUGCAAAAUAAAAAC